rnacentral:lncRNA from 1 species
CUCCAAACAAGAAAGAACAGAGAGUGAGAGAUAUAAGGGUAAUUUUCUAUUACAAUUGUCUAAAGUAGAGAGCAGAUUUAUGGGGGCAAAGGGAAAGAAGCAUCAUUAUUUAGGGUAUUUGAAAUCUUAUUACAUUUAGCCCUAUGUAAAUUUCCAGAACAAAUGCAUAAUGAUUGAUGACUAUUUGCUUCUCUGUCAUCUUAUUGGUUAAAUGAAUGAACACAUGCACUGUAAGCAAUUGGAGAUGGGAGACAAGAAGGGAGGAAAAACCAAUGCCAGGUGCAUUAGUUAGUAGGUUACUA